rnacentral:rRNA from 1 species
CGGACGGGUGAGUAACGCGUGGGUAACCUGCCUUACACAGGGGGAUAACACUUAGAAAUAGGUGCUAAUACCGCAUGAGCGCACAGGACCGCAUGGUCGAGUGUGAAAAACUGAGGUGGUGUAAGAUGGACCCGCGUCUGAUUAGCUAGUUGGUGAGGUAACGGCCCACCAAGGCGACGAUCAGUAGCCGGCCUGAGAGGGCGGACGGCCACAUUGGGACUGAGACACGGCCCAAACUCCUACGGAAGGCAGCAG